rnacentral:rRNA from 1 species
UACGUAGGGUGCGAGCGUUAAUCGGAAUUACUGGGCGUAAAGCGUGCGCAGGCGGUCCGCAAAGUCUGAUGUGAAAGCCCCGGGCUCAACCUGGGAACUGCAUCCGAUACUGGAGGGCUUGAGUUUGGGAGAGGGAUGCGGAAUUCCAGGUGUAGCGGUGAAAUGCGUAGAUAUCUGGAGGAACACCGGUGGCGAAGGCGGCAUCCUGGACCAACACUGACGCUGAGGAGCGAAAGCCAGGGGAGCAAACGGG